AAACGGCUGCUCGCUUCGCAGCGCACCUUUCGCGACAUACCGCGUGAACGCGCAGGAGAGCAAUAAGUGCUCGCAUUAGAGGCUGCAGUGUCGACGAACCGACAGGCAUGACACGACGUAACGCUCGCCGGCGGUUCAAGUUGGUGCCGAGGUUUCGCGCCAUCAUGAGCCUAAACCCGGAAGUGCCGGCCGCUCCUUCGCACCGCUUCCGGUUCAUUCCGGGCCGGCUCAUCCGGAAGCGGCCGAACCACCACAGCCGGAAGCUGCUCGAAAAGCUCGAGAAGCUCGUCGCACAGGAGGAGCCAGACGACAGCCCGUACGCCGGUCUGCUCAUCAGCCCGACGUUACAGAACAACUCGGACGAAACGUUCGACGUGAAGCUCAAGAUAUUUGCGGAGGAUCUUCACAAGCCAGUGUCGUUCACGUGUCCCGCCGCUACUCGCGUCGGCUACCUCGUGGACAGCCUGAAACCUUUCCUGGGAGACUCUAAAGGCUCGUUCGUUUUCAAAGUGACGGGCUUGGACGAGUACCUCUCCAACGAAACUGUUCUUAGCGACUACGAAUACAUCUGCGCAUGUCGCCGACUCGGCAAAACAGCGUGGCUGACGUUGAUCAGCCUGGACGCCGUGCAGCGACCGUGGACGCUCGUGACUUGCGAUGAGUGCGACUUGGACGUCGGCGGUGGCGGCACCGAAUCGUCGUCCGGAAACUUGAUCGGCUACGAAGACGUCAAGGAACGAGUCAUCAAUUUCGAGAACGCGGCAGCACGCUUGAUCGCCGACGCCGAGAAGUCGUCGACGUGCGCAGCGGGGAACGGUGAAGGGGGCCUCCUGACUUCCGCUGAUGAAGUCAGGAAGGCCGUGGUGGAUCUGUGCGUGCUGCUGGGAGAGACGGAAACCGGUGAAGUGCACAGGUCAACAGCGAACUUAAUAAACUUCUUACGCGAAAUUGUAUACGACAACAGAGACGCGGCGGACGCCCAGAAAAAGGCGUUCCUGGUCGGCCGCUUCGUCGAGGACAUCGAAAUGGCGUUGGUGAGGUUUUUGGACAUGCACUCGGAGAGGCGCCUGGUCGAGUUCGCGGUGGACUUCCUCGACGAUCGGUUGUACCGAAGAGCGAGUCACGACUACGCGGCCGACAGCAACGAGCUGUUCGGGCCGCGGAUCGAAAUGGCGACGCAGCUACAAAAGUGGUGGCUCCACGAGUACGAUACCUUCACGGUAGACUGCGCGCUCACGUACGGCGAACGCCUUCUAAGUCAUCAGGCGACGCGCAAGGUAUGCGUGACCCAAAAGAUAUUCCAGUGCGUCAACUUCGACGAGCGGGUGGUCUUUAAGAACGCGACGAUUCGUUCACUGCCCCGCGAGACGAAACUGUACAUGACUCUAAUAGGCCACCGAGAAGGCGUGGACCAGGUGCUCGGAUGGACCGCGUUGAACGUCUUCGCUGACAGGGAACACUUCAAUGGCGGCGAGUUCCUCCUGGGUCUGUGGUCGACCGAUACGGUGUCGCCGCGCGGACCAGCGUGCGCCAGCGAGCGGGACAAAGGUUACCUGCACGUCAGUUUGCCCUACGUCAGAAAUCCGGCCGCACUUUCAAAAUCCAUCUCGCGUGAGCCUCAGGAAGCAAUAAAGAAACCCUUCCAAAGUCUCAGUGCGAGUAUUCAAAGGACUCUGCUCGACCUGACGGUGAAUGACGUGUCUCAGUCACUGCCCCAAAGCGUUCGCGACAUGGUGUGGCACUACCGUCACUACUUGUGCGAUUUUCCGAGCCUGCUCCCACACUUACUGAGGCACCCUGCCUGUUGGAACGCCGCGAACAUCGACGAGACGUACAUGCUCGUGCGAGCGUGGUGUCCGCUUAGUCCAGAGGAAGCGCUCACGCUUCUCUCCGCAACAUUCCCUGACAGCCUGGUGCGCAAGUACGCCGUACGCUCCUUGCAAAGCGUCGGCAGUGACGAACUGUCUCUCUACUUGGCUCAGCUGGUCGAGUCCCUGAGGUUCCAAACCUGGGACGAUUCGUUUCUGGCUGUCUUCUUGCUGCAAAGGGCGCGACAGAGCGUCCGGCUCGCGCACCAGCUGUUCUGGUGGCUCACGGGGAUGAUAAACGAGCCACUUAUGCGGCACAGGGCGCUGGUCAUGCGCAAGGCACUGUUUUUUAUCGCCGGAGAGAAGGUCUCGGCCAGCUUACUCACGCAAGUCCUAAUCGACGACAUGCUCGCAGAGACGGCGCGUAAUAUCAAAGACGCCAGCGACAGCCAGAAGGUGGAAGUGAUGCGCCGAGACCUGACCAGGCUAAACGAAUCCUUGAAGACCCUCAAGUUGCGGCUACCUCUAGACCCCGCGAUAAGCGUCGAGUCCAUCGACAUCGACACGUGCUGCAUAUUUCCCUCAAAGACCCUGCCCUUCAAGCUCGUCUUCAGGUCAUCCGAAGAAGCGGCAGAAAAGAUCGAGGUCAUCUACAAGGCGGGUGACGACUUACGUCAGGACAUGCUCAUGCUCAGCGUCAUCCGGCUGAUGGACAAGCUGUGGCUGGAAAGCGGCAUGGACUUGAAGAUGCUCACUUUCAAGUGCAUCGCGACGGGCGAAAAUCGUGGCUUUGUAGAAGCUGUGCGCGACGUCUCCACGCUCCGGGCCAUCCAGACGGCGCACUCCGGUGUCACGGGGGCCUUCAACAACCGCACCCUUACCGAUUGGUUCUGGAAGCACAACCCAUCUCGCGCCCAGUACCAGGUGGCGGUAGACAACUUCAUCAAGUCUUGCGCUGGUUGCUGCGUGGCCACGUACGUUCUCGGUGUGGGUGACCGGCAUAACGACAACAUCCUCGUCUCCACCACGGGUCACAUGCUGCACAUCGACUUCUCCAAGGUUCUGGGGCGCGCCGAGACGCUAGGAGGAAUCAAGAGGGACCGAGCUCCGGUCGCGCUCACGCCGGACAUGGUGUACGUCAUACGCCGGAACGCAGGCGAGGCCCACUUCGUGCGUCUCUGUUGCGACGCUUAUAACGUGAUACGUCGAAACUCGAACCUCCUGCUGGCGCUCUUCAGCAUCAUGAAGUACUCCGGCAUGGUCGACGUCGACCGCGACGCACUCGCCUACCUGCACCGAUCCAUGUCGCUCGACGCGACCGACGAACAGGCGGCGAGGCACUUCGAGAAGCGCAUCCGCGAGAGCGUCAUGACCAUAGCGACCAGCUUCAACUUCUUCAUCCACAACCUGGCGGUGCUCGGGGCGCCCACGAAAGGCGAGUGCGCGCUGAAAUUGUCGUUCAACCCACGCGACUUCAGCGUCGCCGCCGAAGGGCGCAUCGUGCGGCUUCGCGUCGAAGGGAUUCGACUCCGCUACCACCCCGAGCGAUACUACGUGUACGUGGUCGCGGUGACGCGCGAGUUCCCGCCGACGCAGUCGGUGGUGCGCACGUACAAACAGUUCCUCGAGCUGUACAGCAAGAUGAGCAAGAAGUUUGCAGAGUACGACUUUUGCCCGCUGUCGCGGGGCACGGUGUUCAGCUCCGAAAGCGACGAGUCACUGGCACUGCGGCGCAAGCGCUACAUUCAGGAAUUCCUCGACUCGGUCAUGGCGCUGCCAGACGAAGUGGCCCACUACAGGCUCAUGUACAGCUUCUUCCAUCCGCUUCCACGCGACCUGGAACUUAGAGACAGGGUGCCCAUCACGAUAGCUACGUGAACGAGGAGCGCGGGUGCGUGAAGGCCUUGGAAAGUUUCGGCCAGGCUGCAGCGUUCUGGAUUAGCAUGUACCAUGACGCAGUGUGUGUGUGUGUCCGUCCAAGAACAAGGUCCAUACAUACAUGUGCUCGCGCAUGUGUCCUUUGCGAACUUGCAUAUGUAUAUAGUGCAAGACGGAAGUUUUUGUUCAGAGAGUGUGCACAUUGUAGAGCUGCAGAAAGUGAGCCCUGGAGUCAAAAGACCCUUCAGAUGUUCAAAGUGCACAACCAGUUGUCUACUCUACAAUGCAAUGUAUACUUAGGUUAAACAUGGGUAUGUUGUUUUUGACUUCCAUGCUGCAGCUACUCACAAAAGCUGUUACGUUGUCAUGGAUAUGGUUAAGCAUGGUGCUAAAUGAGAGGGUUCAGCGAUAUGAUUAGACGUAAGGAAGAACUAUGUAAAUAGCUGUUUACUCUAGUCAGGACUUGUUGAUCGGAAUUAACCAAGUCACAGUGAGAAAUAUUUGGUAGCUUCACGUAAGCAUUGCACGAACUCACAGACACAGUCCGUACACAUUGCUUCGCCGGGAGGCACUUUCUCUAGAAAUGUUGCAAACAUUCGUGAUGAUGUACGAGUAGAUCUGAUUUUGUACGAGAGGUGUUAACGGCACGUAUGAUGUCGUCGGUCGACGUAAAACGAGUCAUUUGAGAUGUCUUCGUCCUUCAGCGUACAUAAAGUGAAGACAAUUACGUUGGGACUGACCGCUAUCGUAAAUUAAGAUGAUUAAGCCGAGGUCUCGUUAGUUUACGUUUACUCGGUGAAAAUUAUGAAAGAGAGUAGCGAGAACCCAAGAUAUGCUGUGCGUACAUGAUGUACAGUCGCGACAGAAAAAGAUUAGCGCGAUGACCUGAGCAGCGAAGUCGUGACUAGCAGUAAAAACAUGGGCAUUAGGACCCGCUACUUUUUGCCGGAAAUUCCCGUUUUAACAGGCAGAUUGUGGUGUCGGCUACUCUUUAAUGUCACGUUGGGGAACAAGACGCCCAGUGUCGCACGAUUUCCCCACAGCGGCAUUCACCAUUCGUGCUUCUUUUUUUUUUUUUUUUUUGUCGCGACUGUGACAGUGUACAGCGAUACAAAUAGAGUUCUAGUUUUGCGUAAGGCCUGGCCAUUAUAUCGCGCUCUUCGAAUUCACUCUCAUUUCCCGACACUGAAAAAAAAACGUAAUAUAGGCCCGUAUUCACAAAAACAUCUUACGCCAAAAAGUUUCGUGAGAGAAUAUUUCAGCCAAUCACGAUGCGGGACAUAUCAUUAGCGAAGCCGGCUGACCAAUGGGAUAACGCACUUAUGAAAGAGAGGUUUUGCGAAUUCGGCCCCCUACGUUUUAGCAGCGCCAGAGAGCGCACACGCCACACAAAGAAUGCAGAGCAGUUGUUUGGACGAUCUAUCUCCAUUAGAGAAGUGAAUGCCAGGCG